rnacentral:rRNA from 1 species
GUCAGAGAACCCUUCAAACCCUGAUUAUUGGUGUCGUCCGAGUCAUAUCAAAUAACUAAAACUUUCAACAACGGAUCUCUUGGUUCUGGCAUCGAUGAAGAACGCAGCGAA